rnacentral:lncRNA from 1 species
UCUUCUCUCUCUAAGUCACACUUAGAGAGAGAAGCUCUCCCUUCUCUCUAAAAAUCCCGCCGGCGAAGGUGGGUGGUGGUGAUUCCGGCACGGCGGCGCCACCGCGCCGGAAAAUUCAAACUUCUUUUUUUUUUUUAAAAUUUUUACAUAAAAAGUUCCGUCACCACCUCCUCUACACAAAUCCGGCGUUAGUUUUAGCAAGAACGGAGCGAUUCGGACUAGAUCUACAUUUUUCUUUGAAAAUUUUUCACACUUUUUUUAAAAAAAAAACUACGGAUCUAGAUAUCCUUUUCUCUCUAGUAUCCGAAUCCGGCCUCAAAAUUUUCAAAAUCCGAACGUACACGCCUAGAUCUACAAAUACAUAUCCGUAACAAACUUUUUCACACCUUUUUUACACUACAUAUGCGCGCGAAAACGGAAAAAAAAGAGGAGAGAAAUGCGUUACCUCUGUUCGUGAAACGGAGAAAAAUCUUCGGAAAAACUUCGAAUCCUCCUCUUCUCUUUCGCGCGCGCGCUAUACCCUCCGUUGGUGUUGUUUUUGCUCGAAAAUCCGGUACAUUUUGGUGUUGAUGUGGUGAUUCGCGGUGGUUUUGAGUGAAUCCGGUUCGGAUUUGUUGAUUUUGUGGUGGUUGGAGCUGAUUCUGAGCAGAUCCGGUUUAGAUCUGUUGAUUUUGGUGAUGAGGUGUUCUUGGUGUUCUUCCUCUUUUUCUGUUUUGAUUCUGUUAUGGAUGAGAGAGAGAAAAAGAUUCUGUUUGAGAGUGAUUGUGAUUUUUCUGACUGAUUGUGAUGGAUCUGACACAUUUACUAUUUAUAGCCUGCCAUGUGUAUCUGAGAACCAAUGAAAAAAUGACAUCUGGACCGUUUUGGACUUAUGGACUAAUCUGCAAAAAAGUUAAUAUGAGGACUAAUCUGCAAUAAAAAAAAAGACUAAAAAAAUGCAAUUAAAAAAAGUAUUGGACAAAAAUGCAAUUUUGGGACUCUUUUGGGGGACCGAAAUGUAAAUAAAAAAAUAAAAUGAAUUAAAAUUGGUAAUUGGUAAAAAGGUAAAGUGAAACCUAAAAUAAAAUCAACAAAAGGACUAAAAUGAACCAGCUACAAAAUGAGGUAUUUUAAAAUAUCUUUC